rnacentral:rRNA from 1 species
UACGUAGGGACCAAGCGUUGUUCGGAUUUACUGGGCGUAAAGGGCGCGUAGGCGGCUUAACAAGUCACUUGUGAAAUCUCCGGGCUUAACUCGGAACGGCCAAGUGAAACUGUCAAGCUAGAGUGCAGAAGGGGCAAUCGGAAUUCUUGGUGUAGCGGUGAAAUGCGUAGAUAUCAAGAGGAACACCUGAGGUGAAGACGGGUUGCCGGGCUGACACUGACGCUGAGGCGCGAAAGCCAGGGGAGCAAACGGG